AUGGCAGGGCAAGGGUUGAGGCUUGGAGGAAUAAGCAGAAAUCUUACUGUUUUCUUUCUUAGAAAUUUUGAAGAACUUCAACUUUAUUCUGCAGAUAGAGUUUCCAAACUUAUGAGACUUAAUAGUCCUGGAGGGAUGAGCAGGGGCAUCUGGAACGACUGUCUGAACCAUCAGUUAGCCCUUGGUUUUGGGCCUGCUGUCUCUCUUGCCGUUAUCAAAGCUAGAGAACUAAAAAUGAUGGAUUCUCCAACCUGACAGUACAGAAAAAUCACCUAAGGGCUUUGAUAAAAAUGAAAACUCCAAGAUUCCUCUGUGAGAUCCCAAGUGGAGAGUGAGGAAAGGAGUCAGAGAUCAUUAUUCACAGUCAGCACUGUCAGAGUCCACAGUUGUUGAGGUCCCCAGUGCUGGAUACUCCUGUUCUAGAAGAGACUGAGAAGACCAUGACUACCCCAGGUUUAUGUCUGCUUAUCUCUCUCUUUGUGUGUGAGCAUCUUGAAACUCCAUAACUUCAGCGAAGAUCAAGUUCUUGAAGUAUCUGUCGUCUUAAAAUGAGCAUUGGAUCAGGAGUCAAGGGAAAAACCUGGGUUAGAAUCCUCGUGUCUUCCACUGCCUUGCAUAACUUUUGCCAUUCAUCUGAAGCUCUCCACAUAUUUGUAAAGUGAAGAUUAAUUUAUUAUCAAGACCUGGCAAGUUUAAAACUCUAAGAACAAAAGGACUUGACAUGAAUCUAAGUUAUGUGACUAAGGUUCAUUUUGGAGAUUGUGAAGCAAACACAUCUGCUUGGAAAUUGUUUCUGCUUAAAAGACGUUUCAGAGAAAAAUCUCAGUUCAGUUGACAUGAACCUCCUGGCUGGAGGUUACAGCACUUAUUAGAUAUGACACAAACCCACUUCUAACCCUUCCCUGGGAACUUCUCAUACUUCUAUUUUAAAACAUAAAUAUGGGGCCAAAAAAUAAAUUUGCUUAAAUCUUUACA
rnacentral:lncRNA from 1 species